UACGUAGGGUGCAAGCGUUAAUCGGAAUUACUGGGCGUAAAGCGUGCGCAGGCGGUUAUGUAAGACAGGGGGGAAAUCCCCGGGCUUAACCUGGGAACUGCAUUUGUGACUGCAUAGCUAGAGUACGGUAGAGGGGGAUGGAAUUCCGCGUGUAGCAGUGAAAUGCGUAGAUAUGCGGAGGAACACCGAUGGCGAAGGCAAUCCCCUGGACCUGUACUGACGCUCAUGCACGAAAGCGUGGGGAUCAAACAGG
rnacentral:rRNA from 1 species